AAAUAGAAUUUAUACAUUAACAAAUACUUUGUUUGACUUUUAAAUAGCAUAUGAGUAAAGAAACUGGACAUGACUAAAGUGAAACUUUUUGCAUGUUAAGGUGUUUAACAAGGACUUUUCACAGCUUUAAGUGUGAUUCAAAAAGCGCUGAGGUUAAGGUGGAGAUAAAGAAAGACACGUGGUCUGUUUAACGUUCCACACAAGAGAAUAGUUUAGGUAUUUCUGUCUUUGUAAAAGUUAGGAGAUAAUGUUGUUUUUAAACUAUUACAGACAGAUUUUUAAUGCUAAAGUGUAAGAUAUCAUAUAUCUACGUUUUUGUCACUUAUUAAGUGAUUUUCUUUUAGAUAAGCUGUAUUUUUGGCAGGAACUUUAAAAGACUUUCUAAAGUUUCUCAGAUGAUCAGCUGUGUUCAGGAAACUUGUCUGUUACUUCCUGUUAGCUUUCAUUGAAAUAUCACAAACAUGCAUUAACAUUAUUAUUCCAGAGGAAAGCUGCACACAGAAGGUGUUAGAGAAUGUUUUUGUUGCAACAGCCUUGAUGACCAACAGUUUGUGUCACUUAGAAAACCACACACAUACUUCUGUUGUGCUUAGCAGAGAGGCUGGCCACAGAAAAAGACAAACACACACACAUACACACACACACAUACACCUACCGUCCUAUGUCUGCUCCAUUCAGUCUUGUCAGUCAAAGAGCGAAACACCUUCACUCUGUAGUGAAGAAGCUGUUUAAGGGUUGACUAGUUUGAUUUUUCCCUUAUUGUUGCUGAUUUUGACCUUUAAACAAAAACUAGAGUGAAGAUUCACAAUGAUUCUCAUCUCCUUGAUCACAGCAGCUCUGCUAACAGGAUCUUUUGGAAAAGAUUCCAGCUUUAAUGAAUCAAAGGAAACUUCAUGUUUCACUGCAGAUGGAAAAUCUGUUCAUUUUUAUCUGUCAGAAAAAUGAAGAAGGAGCUAAAACACGGCGGGUCCGUACUCUUCCAGGUAGACCAAAAUGGAAAAAUGAUAACUAAUCACCAAUAUGUUAAUGGAACAAUCAAAUUGAACAAUGUCUCAAAGACAAAUGCUGGAGUUGACACCUUUCAAGAGUUUAACCCUGAUGGCAAAGUACUGAGAAAUUCCAUUGUGAAUCUCAGAGUACUUGCUCCUGUGUCUGUGUUAACGGUGUCUCAGCAGUGUUUGUCACCAGAACAGCAGAAAGUCACCUGCUUCUAUGAGGGAGAUGAAGCAGAGCUCACUCUGACUUUGAAUGGUUUCUUACUUUUACAAUCAAACAAACACAGUCAGUCCCUGAACAAUGACACAUCUGAUAGAUCCAGUGUGUUUAAUGUUUCCAUCAUCAUACAUGGACAGCUUUUUGGAAACAUCUCGUGUAAAGUCUGGAACGAUGUCAGCAGAGAUGAGACGGUUAAAACCAUCACUGCUUGCAACGGUGCAGUAUACAUUUUCCUCAGAGAAAUGUUGGACAAAUUCAAAUCAUCAGUUUAUGUGGCUGUAGUCGCUGCAGUGUUGCCACUCUUAGUUUUUGUUGCUUUGACUGCCACUCCUAUUGGAAAUUGUAAAAAAUAAAAAGCAGAAAAAUAGGUAUGAUUGUGAAAUUUUACAACAUAAACCCAGAGAUGACUUAGAAACGAAAGUUAUCUUCAUGAAAGUUAAAGUGAAAUAAAAAAUUGAGAAAAACUGAAGCCAAACUCCAAGAUAGAGUUUGACAAUCAUUUUGAUUUAUCCUUAAAUUAAAGUAUUGUUAAUAUGUCAAUUUGUUCUUCUGUCUUUGCUUCACUGAAGACAAUUUUACCAAUGGAUAGAUUUACUUUACUUUAAUUUCAAAGUCUAUGCUGUAAGAGUUGUAAAUGUACGUGAAAUGUUUGUUUUUCUAUAUGUUGCCACGAGAUGAAGCCACAUUACUUCUCUUUAUCAACCUGUUAGACUGAUAUGUUUUUUUCUUAUUUCUUAAAUGCCAUUUUAAGAAACUUCUUAAGGUUAAUGUGACUUUACUUCAUUAAUACCACAUUGGUAUUUUUGUUCCUGUAAUUUGUUUUUAAUUUUGUUAAUUUUGAAAUGUUUGUAGAAUUAAAUGAAAUCCAGUCAUGAAGUCUAUAUGGGCUGACAUAGAGAGAAAUAUUAUUUUUCUGAAAUUUUGAGAAUGUACAUGAACCACUAUUCUACACUGUAAAAGCUGGAAAUACAAAUUGUUUGGUGGAAUUGAGCUCAUGAGGCAGAAGAUAAAACGUAUAAAA